rnacentral:rRNA from 2 species
AGAGUUUGAUCCUGGCUCAGAACGAACGCUGGCGGCAGGCUUAACACAUGCAAGUCGAGCGCCCCGCAAGGGGAGCGGCAGACGGGUGAGUAACGCGUGGGAACGUACCUUUUGCUACGGAAUAACUCAGGGAAACUUGUGCUAAUACCGUAUGUGCCCGAAAGGGGAAAGAUUUAUCGGCAAAGGAUCGGCCCGCGUUGGAUUAGCUAGUUGGUGAGGUAAAGGCUCACCAAGGCGACGAUCCAUAGCUGGUCUGAGAGGAUGAUCAGCCACACUGGGACUGAGACACGGCCCAGACUCCUACGGGAGGCAGCAGUGGGGAAUAUUGGACAAUGGGCGCAAGCCUGAUCCAGCCAUGCCGCGUGAGUGAUGAAGGCCCUAGGGUUGUAAAGCUCUUUCACCGGUGAAGAUAAUGACG